CUGCUGCCUCCCGUAGGAGUUUGGACCGUGUCUCAGUUCCAAUGUGGGGGACCUUCCUCUCAGAACCCCUACGCAUCGUCGGCUUGGUGGGCCGUUGCCCCACCAACUACCUAAUGCGCCGCAUGCCCAUCCGUGACCGGGGUCGCCCCUUUGGCCGGCAGGGGAUGUCCCCUCCCGGCAUCAUGUUGUAUUAGGCGGGAUUUCUCCCGGUUAUCCAUCUGUCACGGCCAGGUUGCAUACGUGUUACUCACCCGUGCGCCGGUCGCCGGG
rnacentral:rRNA from 1 species